GAUGAACGCUGGCGGCGUGCUUAACACAUGCAAGUCGAACGGGAUCCAAGGGGUGCUUGCACUUUUUGGUGAGAGGGGCGAACGGGUGAGUAACACGUGAGUAACCUGUCCUUUUCUUUUGGAUAAGCAUUCGAAAGGGUGUUUAAUACCUUAUGUUCUGUCUGCCUCGCAUGGGGUGGGUGGUAAAGGCUUUGGCCGGAGUUGGGUGGGCUCGCGGUCUAUCAGCUUGUUGGUGGGGUGAUGGCUUGCCAGGGCUUUGACGGGUAGCCGGCCUGAGAGGGUGGUCGGUCACAUUGGGCCUGAGAUACGGCCCAGACUCCUGCGGGAGGCAGCAGUGGGGGAUAUUGCACAAUGGGCGACAGCCUGAUGCAGCGACGCCGCGUGGGGGAGGAAGGCCUUCGGGUUGUAAACUUCUUUUGCUCUGAACAAGGCAUGCCAGUGGGUGUGUUGAGUGUAGGGGUUGAUUAGCGCCGGCUAACUACGUG
rnacentral:rRNA from 1 species